rnacentral:rRNA from 1 species
GGCGAACGCUGGCGGCGUGCUUAACACAUGCAAGUCGAACGAUGAACCCGGAGCUUGCUCCGGCGGAUUAGUGGCGAACGGGUGAGUAACACGUGAGUAACCUGCCCUUGACUCUGGGAUAACUGCGGGAAGCUGUAGCUAAUACCGGAUACGACCCUCGGCGGCAUCGCCAGGGGGUGGAAAGAAUUUCGGUCAAGGAUGGACUCGCGGCCUAUCAGCUAGUUGGUGAGGUAACGGCUCACCAAGGCGACGACGGGUAGCCGGCCUGAGCGGGGAAACGGCCACACUGGGACUGAGACACGGCCCAGACUCCUACGGGGGGCAGCAGUGGGGAAUAUUGCACAAUGAGCGCAAGCCUGAUGCAGCAACGCCGCGUGAGGGAUGACGGCCUUCGGGUUGUAAACCUCUUUUAGUAGGGAAGAAGCGAAAGUGACGGUACCUGCAGAAAAAGCACCGGCUAACUACGUGCCAGCCGCCGCCGUAA